rnacentral:lncRNA from 1 species
GGUAGCCUAUGACAACAAAAACUAAAAUCAUCCUGUAUGACAGAACUAUAGACUGUUUUGCCAACAUGAAAGAGAGGAGGAUGGCAUUGCCGUGCAACUUGUCUACAACAAGUAGGACUAAUCCUGCUUCUGCUGAUGAUGACGGUGACCUUAACACCAGUUUUAGUAGUAGAGCCCGUAUACCCAUUGGAUGAAAGCGUUCAGCCUGGAAUAUGCUCACGCUCAACAUCUGAAGCAAGCCAGGACAGCCAAAGAUGACCAUGGUUUCUUGUAUGGCUACACAUCCUCAUGAUCAGUCUUUGUCUUUCCAGGAGACUUGCAGUAUAAAUAAAUAUACUGCAAGUCUCCUGGAGCAGUGGGUUGUAAAGAAAGUGUAUGAGAGGCUUGUCUACCUGGCUGUGGAGUGCAGAAAGGACACAGCUGCCAUUACCCAACACAAGAAGAGGAUCACCAGCUGAACAUUCUGGAACAUGCACUCUUAGGAUAAAAAGGUGCUAUCUGGAACCUAAAAGGGUUCUUUGGCUGUCCCUAGAGGAGAAUCCUUUGAAAAACCUUUUGGGUUCCAUGUAGAACCAUUUCCCUCGAAAAUGUAAUCUAUGUAAUCCCCAAAAGUAAUUAUUUAUUAUGUGGGCCAUAAACAAUAACUAGUAAUGCUGCAUACUCAAAGAAAGGUUAAAAUCUCACCUUUCUGGUAAACAUUGUUAUAAAUUGUUGAGGUGUAGUCAGUUUUGAGGACACAAGCUUAAGUACACAGUUAAAUUAUGAUACAUGAUGUAUUUCCUAUUCAACAAAACUGUAUGAAUAAGGCUUGAAAUGACAUACAGUAUGCUUUCUAAAUAUAGCAUAAUGAAAUUAUAU